ACAGAGGGUGCAAGCGUUAAUCGGAGUUACUGGGCAUAAAGGGCGCGUAGGCCGAUAUUUAAGUCGAUUGUGAAAUCCCUGGGCUUAACCUAGGAAUUGCAUUCGAUACUGAAUGUCUUGAGUAUGGUAGAGGAAAGUGGAAUUCUCGGUGUAGUGGUAAAAUACGUAGAUAUCGAGAAGAACACCGGUGGCGAAGGCGACUUUCUGGACCAAUACUGACGCUGAGGCGCGAAAGCGUGGGGAGCAAACAGGAUUAGAUACCCUGGUAGUCCACGCUGUAAACGAUGAGAACUAGAUGUUGCUUAGUAUUAUGCUAGGCAGUAUCGCAGCUAACGCAUUAAGUUCUCCGCCUGGGGAGUACGAUCGCAAGAUUA
rnacentral:rRNA from 1 species